rnacentral:rRNA from 1 species
AACGAACGCUGGCGGCAGGCCUAACACAUGCAAGUCGAGCGCGCCUUCGGGUGAGCGGCGGACGGGUGAGUAACGCGUGGGAAUAUGCCCUUCUCUACGGAAUAGUCCUGGGAAACUGGGGGUAAUACCGUAUACGCCCUUUGGGGGAAAGAUUUAUCGGGGAAGGAUUAGCCCGCGUUGGAUUAGGUAGUUGGUGGGGUAAUGGCCUACCAAGCCGACGAUCCAUAGCUGGUUUGAGAGGAUGAUCAGCCACACUGGGACUGAGACACGGCCCAGACUCCUACGGAGGGGAGGAGUGGGAAAUGUUAAGCAGUGGGGGCAACCAAAACCUAGCCAUGCCGGGUGGGUUGUGAGGGCCUUAGGUUUGUAAGGCUCUUUCAGGUGGGAAGAUAAUGACGGCCCCAGGAGAAAGAACCCAGGCUAACCCCGU